AACAUCGCCUCUUGCCCAAUUAAUAUAAGAGGUCCCGCCUGCCCUGUGACGAAAGUUUAACGGCCGCGGUAUUUUGACCGUGCGAAGGUAGCGUAAUCACUUGUCUUUUAAAUAGAGACCUGUAUGAAUGGCAUAACGAGGGCUAAGCUGUCUCCUUUCUCCGGUCAAUGAAAUUGAUCUGCCCGUGCAGAAGCGGGCAUACAAACAUAAGACGAGAAGACCCUAUGGAGCUUAAGACACCAGGACAGACCAUGUUAAAGUGCCUAAAUAAAAGGAAUAAACCAAGUGCUUUCUGUCCCCCUGUCUUUGGUUGGGGCGACCGCGGAGUAACAUAAAACCCCCACGUGGAAGGGGAAACAUCCCCCUAAAACCAGAGCCACAGCUCUAAUAAACAGAAAUUCUGACCAUCAAGAUCCGGAAAUACCGAUCAACGGACCCAGUUACCCUAGGGAUAACAGCGCAAUCCCCUUCUAGAGCCCAUAUCGACAAGGGGGUUUACGACCUCGAUGUUGGAUCAGGACUUCCUAAUGGUGCAGCCGCUAUUAAGGGUUCGUUUGUUCAACGAUUAAAGUCCUACGUGA
rnacentral:rRNA from 1 species